GAUGAACGCUGGCGGCGUGCCUAAUACAUGCAAGUCGAGCGAACAGACGAGGAUCUUGCUCCUCUUACGUUAGCGGCGGACGGGUGAGUAACACGUGGAUAACCUACCUAUAAGACUGGGAUAACUUCGGGAAACCGGAGCUAAUACCGGAUAAUAUAUUGAACCGCAUGGUUCAAUAGUGAAAGACGGUUUUGCUGUCACUUAUAGAUGGAUCCGCGCCGCAUUAGCUAGUUGGUAAGGUAACGGCUUACCAAGGCAACGAUGCGUAGCCGACCUGAGAGGGUGAUCGGCCACACUGGAACUGAGACACGGUCCAGACUCCUACGGGAGGCAGCAGUAGGGAAUCUUCCGCAAUGGGCGAAAGCUUGACGGAGCAACGCCGCGUGAGUGAUGAAGGUCUUCGGAUCGUAAAACUCUGUUAUUAGGGAAGAACAAAUGUGUAAGUAACUAUGCACGUCUUGACGGUACCUAAUCAGAAAGCCACGGCUAACUACGUG
rnacentral:rRNA from 1 species